rnacentral:lncRNA from 1 species
GGCGUGGAAAGGGCUAUAUCGCCGUGUGUUUCUUCCCUCGGUCACGGGGGAGGGAAUUCACCGCCCUGGAGAGUUUGGUGCCUGAGGCGGCUGCUUCCUUUCGCUUCUCGGGCGGGCCCUCUGGCUACAACCCGGUUGACAGUUCGUUAGGUGGAACAUGCAGGAAGGAAAGCGAAGACUGUUGACCCCAGCGCCACUUCAAACUUUGCGGGAUAGGACGUGUGUGUGUGCGUGUUGCGGGGCGGGGGUGGUGGUGGAAGGAAGUUUUCGUCAGCAAUUGUGAGCCUUCGCUAAUACAUUAAAUUGCGAGGAAAACGCGCCAAAACCUCUCGACAGUGUCUUGCGGGUGCGGAGGCCUCGACACGUCCUCUGCCUCGCUCCGUCUUAUUCCCUACCUUUGCGCAAUACCUAAGCCUUUUUUUCCCCGUCUUGCCUGAGGGAGAGACACUACCUGCGUUUUCGAAGACCGCGGAAACUUCGUAAGGCAGGAAGGAGGGACGGGUCACUUUUCGGCGGCCCUCCGCCCUCUUCUUCUUUCCUUCCCUUUCCUCGUCCUACCGCCAAGCAGCUGCGGGCCUCCAGGGGAUCAGCCUUUCCUGCGCUGGCCGGGCAGGCGGCGGCGGCGGCUGCGCGCCCGCUGCUUCUGCUCCCAGGUACCUGUUCCACUUCUGUCCACUUUCCCCGCUCUCCACCUGACUGGGGGGUGUCUUCUCCUGUCAAGGCUUGGGAAAAGCCGGUGCCACCGACGCCCCCGGGAAUGUUGCCUUCGCUCCAGUGGCUUAGAGGUGGCUCCUCCAUUUCCAUAUCAUCACUGGUGUUGCAACCUCACAGUCCUCUGCUGUUCUAUAGUGAAGGAGAAAAUGUAGAAGAAAGGAAGUGAAGGGGAGUGGUGAGUACUGGUGGGUAUUCAUAAAUAUAGUGAGGGAUGUAUGAAAUUAUGCAUGGUCUGAAGAAAAUGUUUUCUUUAAUUUUACGACAUCCUGAUGUCAUCCAGUGAACCUGAGCUAUGGUAGAUUCAGGAAAUACAAAAGGAAGACCUUUCUCACAAAGUACAUGAUAGAGUAUUGUGGAAUUCAUGGCCAGAAUACAUGCUGAUAGACACUACAUUGAUUUAAAGUGGGAUUAGACAAAAGCCUUGUUCAGGUGUAUCGCAAUAACCUAUGUAGGGCUGAAGAGAUGAAAGGAACAAGGGCUUGCACAUGGACCGCACCACCAUGUCCCCGCCCCACUCAGAAGCCUCACAGACCUUCACAUGUUUAGCAUGAACAUCUGCAACAGAACCUCUAAGUUGAUGGAUUCUGAUCAUUAUAGUAAGCAGGGCGCUUCCCCAUCUGAGGCUAUCCCAAGCCAGUUCACUUCUCAAAUGCAGAUGUAUGUCUACAGGUGUCUCCCAGUCCCACACUGACUCAGUGGAGAUCAAAGAAGCAUUCAGUUGACAGUUGCUCUGGAUGCCAAAGGCUUUUCCAUUGACAUCUUCCGUUCCCACUGUUGGCAAUCACUAUCACUUCCUGCCUUGAGAUCAACAAUUACACAAGUUAGUUGGACAUUAAUCUUAUUAUCUCAUAAUGUUUUGUUCUUGUUUUGCUUUCCUAUUUGGAAUAUUCUCCAGGCAGGGCUUGGACGUUUCUUGCAUCUUUUGCUUGCAAGGGACAUUAAUAAUAAAGGUUUGUUUAUUUUUCUGUUGCUAUAGCCU